AGCUCCAAUAGCGUAUAUUAAAGUUGCUGCAGUUAAAAAGCUCGUAGUUGGAUUUGUGGCGCGGUCGUCCGGCGGGGCUUCCGGUUUCAUAGUAUCCCGGGGCCGUUUGUCUGGGUUCUUGGCCGCCCCAUUCUUCGGUUGCGUGUCGCUGGCAUUAGGUUGUCGGCUUCUUCGCGCCGAUCGUUUACUGUGAAAAAAUUAGAGUGUUCAAAGCGAGCGAUUGCCAUGAAUACAUUAGCAUGGAAUAAUAGAAUAGGACCUGAUCCUGUUUUGUUGGUUUGUCGGUAUUAGGUAAUGAUUAAGAGGGACGGUCGGGGGCAUUUGUAUUCCAGGGUUAGAGGUGAAAUUCUUGGAUCCUUGGAAGACAAACAGCUGCGAAAGCGUCUGCCAAGGACGUUUU
rnacentral:rRNA from 1 species